UACGUAGGGUGCAAGCGUUGUCCGGAAUUAUUGGGCGUAAAGAGCUCGUAGGCGGUUUGUCGCGUCUGCUGUGAAAACUCGGGGCUUAACUCCGGGCCUGCAGUGGGUACGGGCAGACUAGAGUGCGGUAGGGGAGACUGGAAUUCCUGGUGUAGCGGUGAAAUGCGCAGAUAUCAGGAGGAACACCGGUGGCGAAGGCGACUCUUUGGCCUGUAACUGACGCUGAGGCGCGAAAGCGUGGGGAGCAAACAGG
rnacentral:rRNA from 1 species